GGGCAUAGCUCAGUGGUAGAUCAAUCGAUAGGUCCAUGGUUUAACUCCGUGUGGCCCCU
rnacentral:tRNA from 1 species